AUUGAACGCUGGCGGCAGGCCUAACACAUGCAAGUCGAGCGGGGUUUUCGGACCUAGCGGCGGACGGGUGAGUAAUGCGUAGGAAGCUACCCGAUAGAGGGGGAUACCAGUUGGAAACGACUGUUAAUACCGCAUAAUGUCUACGGACCAAAGUGUGGGACCUUCGGGCCACAUGCUAUCGGAUGCGCCUACGUGGGAUUAGCUAGUUGGUGAGGUAAUGGCUCACCAAGGCGACGAUCCCUAGCUGGUUUGAGAGGAUGAUCAGCACCACUGGUAAGAGGAAAAGGUCCAGACUCCUACGGGAGGCAGCAGUGGGGAAUAUUGAACAAUGGGCGCAAGCCUGAUCCAGCCAUGCCGCGUGUGUGAAGAAGGCCUUCGGGUUGUAAAGCACUUUAAGUUGGGAGGAAGGGCAGUAAGUUAAUACCUUGCUGUUUUGACGUUACCAACAGAAUAAGCACCGGCUAACUUCGUGCCAGCCGCCGCCGUAAAAC
rnacentral:rRNA from 1 species